rnacentral:rRNA from 1 species
GACGAACGCUGGCGGCGUGCUUAACACAUGCAAGUCGAACGGACAGGCCCGGCUUUUGUGGGGUGCUCGUGUGGCGAACGCGUGAGUAAAACGUGAGUAAACUGUCCUUGACUUUGUGAUAACUUCAGGAAACUCGGGCUAAUACCGGAUAGGAGCUCCUGCUGCAUAGUGUGGGAUGGAAAGAUUCGGCGGUAGGGGAUGGACUCGCGGCUUAUCCGCUUGUUGGUCGGGUAGUGGUUUACCAGGGCUACGACGGGUAGCCGGCAUGGGAGGGUGACCGGGCACAUUGCGACUGAGAUACGGCCCAGAAGCCUACGGUAGGCAGCAGUGGGGAACAUGGCACAAUGGGCGGAAGCGUGAUGUGGCAACGCCGCGAGCGUGAUGACGUCUUACGAGUGGUAAACCGCUUUGUACUGUGACGAGGAGAGAGUGACGGUAAUGGGUAAGGAAGCACCGGCUAACUACGUG